rnacentral:lncRNA from 1 species
CAAGGUUAGGAGCGAGGGACUAUGGGUCAGUGACAGUCGUCCGAAAACUUUUCCCUUGUUCUUCAGCUGUGGCCCGAUGGUGUCAAAUGUCACUGUGACAGCCCUCAUUUCUCAUGACGGUCGGGCUUAUUUUGGCCUGGUUGGUUUUUGUUGUGUUUUUUUUUUUCCCCUCCCCUAAUGGGAGUUAUUGAGAGGAAGAAGAGAACAGACAAGGCCGUGUUUUGCGACAGUGAUUCUGCACCGCCAGGAGAAGCACAGCGAGCACCGGGACAACAACGGCGAAAGAAGGAACGCGAUCGGAUUCCUUCUGCUGGGAUUUAGCAGAUAAGUGGAAAAGCUGAGUCUGAGAAACUGAAGAAACUGCCAGUAGCCCAGAGACCACAAUUUGAUGACAUUUCAUUCUUAAUCAGAAGCUCGGCGUCUUACCAGUGCUGAUGGGCAACCUGAGAGCCGGGGGCUCCCAGCAGCCCCUGCAGGCUGACAGAGGCCGGUCCUCCCUCGGAGGUGAAGGGCAGGUGGGCCGUGAAGGAAAGCCGCCCCGUAGGGCUGCUCCGC